rnacentral:rRNA from 1 species
CGCCUGUUUAUCAAAAACAUCUUUUCUUGUUAGUUUUUGAAGUAUGGCCUGCCCGCUGAUUUUAGGUUGAAGGGCCGCGGUAUUUUGACCGUGCAAAGGUAGCAUAAUCAUUAGUUCUUUAAUUGUGAUCUGGUAUGAAUGGCUUGACGAGGCAUGGGCUGUCUUGGAUUGGGAUUGUUUAUUGAAUUUGGUUUUUGAGUUAGAAUUCUUAAAUGUUUUUAUGGGACGAGAAGACCCUAUAGAGUUUAACAUUUAUUUAUACAGCUUGUUUAUAGGUUUGUUUUGUAGUUGCUUUGUGUUAAUGUGUUUUGUUGGGGUGAUGGGAAGAAUUUUCUUAACUCUUCUUUAUUUUGGUAUAUUGAUUUAUGUUGGUUUUGAUCCAUUUAUUUUGAUUAUAAGAUUAAAUUACCUUAGGGAUAACAGCGUAAA